rnacentral:lncRNA from 1 species
AGUAAUGACUAAACAACCUACUGAAGAUACCAAUGUCCAUUCAAAUCCCUGCAUAUAGACAGUUUGAGCAUAAACACACAAAGUAAGACACCAAGAUUUCAAAUGUCUUAAUCACUAUGCUAGUCCACAUGUAUAUAUGACUGUAACGUAAUCACCAUGGUCCAUUAAACUUAGUCCAAACAUCAGAGUGUGUGUGAAAUAGUUCCACUCAUGGGUCUUUAGAUCAGCAUUAACUGAGAUGAGAGAUGAUAUAUCAUACAGUUCAGGAGAGCAGAGGUCACAUCCAUCCUUAUAGCACCAAGAACAACAUUGUUCAAAAUCAGAGACAAUUUUUUCGAUUAAUUUAAUUAGAUAUUAGUUUAAUAGCCAAUCUGAAAAAUCGUCCUCAUAGGUUCAUAUAGCAAGAGGGUUGCCAUUGACUCCCUAACCAGAUGGUCUUGGGGCAAUAGGUGUAACAAAGACACUCAAUAGGACAACCAACUUGAACCCAUAGAAGGAUAGAAUGCAUUUCAGGAAUCCUCACUGAGUCAUGUAUCAAGUGAGAGAUCAACUAGUCCAAGAUAUGAUUUGUGAAUUUCAUUUACACUUCAAGAUCACUAAACCAAUCUCAUUUCUGCCCACCCUUAUAUCGCUCAUCACGACCAAGGAAUGUAUACUUUGAGACUAGCCUAGAGUGGAGCAAAACGCUCAACACACCACCUCAUCAAACCAACCUCGUUUCUUCCCACCCUUAUAUCGUUCGUCACGACCAAGGAAUGUAUACUUUGAGGCUAGUUUGGCAUAGAAACUCUUUGCAUCAACUCAUCUCAAGUUUAUAACUUUGCACUUUGUAACCCACAAAGUUGACUAUGUGAAGCAUGUAGUUUCUUAAGUCUUUCAAAGCUUAUCAGACCACAUAUGAGAAAUAAUGAUCAAUAAGAUGCAAGCAUACAUGUGUACAAGAGAGCAACUAAGACAAGUGAAACUCAAACACUCACUUAAGUCAAGAUCAAAAACUGUCCAAGGAUAUCAUAUCACACAGGUAUCCUGAAAACUAAUACUGGAAAAUAAAGACACAUAUUUUUGAUUUUU